AGAGUUUGAUCCUGGCUCAGGACGAACGCUGGCGGCGUGCCUAAUACAUGCAAGUCGAACGAAACUUUCUUACACCGAAUGCUUGCAUUCACCGUAAGAAGUUGAGUGGCGGACGGGUGAGUAACACGUGGGUAACCUGCCUAAAAGAAGGGGAUAACACUUGGAAACAGGUGCUAAUACCGUAUAUCUCUAAGGGUCGCAUGAUCCUUAGAUGAAAGAUGGUUCUGCUAUCGCUUUUAGAUGGACCCGCGGCGUAUUAACUAGUUGGUGGGGUAACGGCCUACCAAGGUGAUGAUACGUAGCCGAACUGAGAGGUUGAUCGGCCACAUUGGGACUGAGACACGGCCCAAACUCCUACGGGAGGCAGCAGUAGGGAAUCUUCCACAAUGGACGCAAGUCUGAUGGAGCAACGCCGCGUGAGUGAAGAAGGUCUUCGGAU
rnacentral:rRNA from 2 species